GAGCAACGGAACGUUAUUUUGACCCUGGUAUUCGCAAAGUACUGGUGUACAAGUUAGUGUUAGGGCGUGUUGUUACUCUGAGCUGGUACCCCGUUACCCUUUUGGGGUCGCUAGGGCUGACACACCCCUAGCUUACACCGAAUUUGUACACCGUCAAAACGCGAAUACAUAGGGUCGAAAAACAUUAAAAUCUGCCGUAUAUACCCUCUUGAGGGAGUAUACGCAGAUAUUUUAGUCCUGAAAUAUUAAAUGUUAAUUACAUACUGAAUGAAAAUUAUUUUCAGGUGUAUUGUUAGUGAAUGAGGUAAUGGUGGUAAUAUGAUGCCUCGCAUGAAAUUGGCCUAGUGGUGAUGUAUGAAUCUUGGAGACUAACGUUGUGAUGGGAGCAGUGGUGGAGCGAUGAUUUACGUGAGACCUCUGGCAGCCGAGCAGAAGCUGGUGGCAGAUGGUUUGGUUAGGAAGAUGUGCUACUGAUAGCUGGAUCAUAUGUGGUAAUACCGGAUAGAUUUGUGGGACCCCUUGGCUGUGGAAGAGCACAGCGAGACGCGUCAACUUAAGUGUUAGUGAAGAAGAGUUUGCAGUGGCGUAUAUAGCCUGUUGGAUGCAUAAGUGGACGAGCCUUGACUGUGUUGAAGAGAGAAUUGGAUAAGCACGUGGCAAGGAUACCUGAUGAAGCAGGCUGUGACUGAUAGGUCAGGCUGCGAGGAGCCGCGUCCAAGAGCGUGGUUGACGAGUCCGGCAACCAGAAGGCUUGGUGGACGAGCGGGCCGGGGGAACGCUAAGGGCCGGAAGGACCUCAAGGUAAGGUGACGGGUUUCGUGAAAUGAGUAGAAUGUGGAGGAGAGAAACGUUGUGAUGGGACCAGUGUUGGACUGAUUUGAGUCCGACCGGUGGGAGCCGAGCAGACGCUGGUGGGAGAUGUGCGGGUUGAGAUUUGCGAGAAGAUGGUAAUAAUGGUGGUUGAUUGGUAGAGGGACCGCAGGCCAGCGGAGUGUGACGUCGAACUGAAGGAGAGUGUGAUGUGCAAGAAAUAAUAUUGUUGAAGACAAGGAUGAUGCGACGCAUAUGAAGAGAAAGGCGUAUAUAAUUGUGACCAAAAAUAAUCGAGUAAUGAAGAUGGAUUGGAAUCGAAACUGUUGUUUAAAUAUCAUUUGUUACGUGUAAGGGGAAAGUGUUAAGGAGAGAUGAUAAUGUAGUGAUAUUUUGGUAUAAUAUUUAGUAGACUGUUUAAUGAAGUUAAGUAUUAUAUGUUGAAAGAGUGUGCACAAUGUUUGUUUUGAAAGAAAUGUUGGGUGAAGUUGUUGAAAAUGUGUGAAGAGAAUGUUAUGGAAGGUGUAUAGUAAAUAUGUUGUGGGAGUUAAUAAUUAGUGUAUUAAAUGACGUAAAUGUAUACAUUAUAAAAUGAAUGAAUUGUUUGAUGGUUAUAAUUGAAUGUAAAGUAAAAUAAUAAUAAGUGAUUAAGAACAGUGUUUAAAUGACGUAAUUAUGAAAGUUGUAAAGAGACGAAUGUUUUAGGUACUGAGAAGAAAAAGUAGCAGUUUUUGCUGUGUAUGGAGAUUGCCUAUGUGGGGGGUUGUUUUUAGGCAUUAUGUGUGAGUGUGAAAGUCGAGAUGGAUGUUGUGGGUGUUAAUUGUUGUUUUUACGUUGGUUAUUGUUAUGGAGGUUGUUUGAUUAGUGUAGAGUUGUGUUGUUUGUAUUUUAUUAUGUUGAGUUUGUAUGUUUGAUGUCAUGUGAGUUUUGUUGACAUUACGUCCAGGAUGAAGUGUUUGAGCCGUUUGUGUGGUAUUUAAGCAGCAGGGGUUGAGUUGAUAGUGUGAAAAUGUAGAUUGAGGAUAUGUAGAAUAGAAAAUGAUCAUGUAAGAGGAAUGUAUGGUAAUGUAUAUAAAGUAAAAUAAAUGUGAAAUUAGGAAUUUUAUAGAAUGUUAAAAUAAUUUGUAAUGAAAGGCAGAAAUGAUAGUUGAUUAUAGGAAAUUGAUGUUGAAAAGUUAAUGUUUUAAAGGUGUGUGUGUAAAUUGCCAAUGAUGAGAUUGAACUGAUGUAAAUGUGUAUUAUAGUUUUGAAAUGUAAUUAUGACAGGUAGUGAAAGAGAUUAAUAUGGAGGAAUGAUUUUAGGAGAAAUAUAUGGACGUAGGUUAUAUGUUAAUAGUAGUGUAAAUAUAGUAACUUUGAUAAUGUGUUUAUAUAUGAUAGGUAUAGAUAUAUAUAAAAGCAUAAAUACAUAGGUGAAAGUAAAACUAUAUAUACCGAAAUAGCAUAAAAAGAAGGAAAUAUAGUAAAAAUAUGGAAGAUGUAUAUUGAUAGGAAAGGUAUGCUAUGGUAGGAUGUCAAUGUUUUGGAUACAUAGGGUGCGUGAAGGAAAUGAAACGUAGUUUGUUGUAAGCGUGCUCUGCAGCCAACGUUGUUAGUGUGAUAGUUAAGCCGGCGAUGUUAUUCAGGUAUUAUAUUGAUAAUGGUCAUAUAAAUAUGCGGCCUUGCAGGCGUCGGCUUUAUGGAUACGUGUUACAAAUACGGAUCCGUAGCGUUCCUGGUGUCCAUUUCACUUUGCCUCAGAUCCCGAGAUCUUAAAGCUGUGUUACUGGUGCUCGCAGAUGCUCAUUGACACUAAACUGAUUCACGGCUCUUAAGGCAGUUUGUUAGGGUUACUAUUGAGCUGUAACAUGUUUCGGAGGGCAACAUACACUGGAGAUCACUGUAACGGACUCAGUUACCAUCCUUAUAAUUUGUCAAUCCGGACGCAAGCAUGUUGGGCGUUAAGACGUGUUUAUUAUAUUUGAAAUAUUGUUUGAUUUGUAUAUUGAUUUGAUAAUAUAUACAUAGUGGUCAUAAAAAUCAUUGUUUGGUUGUUUUAUAUUAUUAAUUUAUUUGAAUAGUUGGAAAUGAAUUAUUGCUUGCUAGAUCCUUCCCCCUGGAAUAACUUGUGGGCUUGACUCAGAUACGGUAACUGUUCCUCCCCCCCCCCCCCCCCACCAACCUUUAUUGAAAUUUUUUUUUUUUUGUGUGUUUUUCCCGGUAAAGUUGUGGUCUGGUUGGUAGUUACCUUAGUUCGCUAGCGACUAGUUUCCUGGAAGAUGGUUUUCUCUUCCUUUCCCCUCUAGUCACUCCUUUGCCCUGUGGCAGUGUUCCGUGUCAGAGUUCUCCCCACAGGGUAUCAGCCUUGCUUUAUCCAUUAAUGACACUUGCCCAGUUAGCUUCCGGAAAUGUCCCCCCCCUCCUCUUAGAAACUAAUUUCAGCAGUACCCUUAAGGGGUAGGUUGGAGGAGAAUAUUAUGUUUAAGCGUUAAUGUGUUUAAAUUGAGUGUGGUUGAUGUACACUAAUAUAGUAGUAUGUAAGAGUAUAUUAACGUGAAUUGUUAAAUUGGAUUGUUGUAUUUGUACUGAGUGAAAUUGUGCGGCUUGAAGGGGUAGAAAUUUCCUAAGGUACUAGUGAGUAGUUGACUAUUAUUUAGUGAAAUUGUCUGAAAUAACAUACUUGAAGGUUAAUAAAUAACUUGACCCAACAGUAUGUAAGUUUGUAUAGUUAUCAAUAAGUAGUGUACCAGUUCAAAUUGUUUUGAUGUGUGAUAUCAUUAUGAUACACUGUACCUCGGAGCUAGAAGAAAUGUGGGGCAAGAGUUUAACAUUUAUAUGCUGUGCCUACUAUAUUAAACAGGAUUGUUGUAUUGUGUAUUUGUAGUCACUGAAUGUGUGCGGCGCCACCCCCCCCCCCCCCUUGAGGUUGUGCAAGUAGAGGGGGAGUAGAAAUACCCUAAACUACUGUAUUCCUUUGAGAUACGUUUAUUGAGAGAAUAAUAAAUACAAUUGAAUUGAAGGUUGUUUUGUGUAUAUUUUUGUUAACAACCUGUUGUGUUAUGUCUUAGUUACCGGUGAUAUGUACGUAUGUAUAUAGUGUAUUAUAUAUAAACGUGCUUUGAUGGAAAUUGAAUGGUUUUCAUUUUCCACAAAACUAUCAUUGAAGACGUUUCUGAGGUUGUUUUCCGAAAAAGAUACCUCCAUUUGUAAACUCUAAUAAUAAACAUUAAAUAUGAUA